CCUACGGGCUGCAGCAGUGGGGAAUAUUGCACAAUGGGCGCAAGCCUGAUGCAGCCAUGCCGCGCGUAUGAAGAAGGCCCUAGGGUUGUAAAGUACUUUCAGUCGGGAGGAAGGCGUUGAUGCUAAUAUCAUCAACGAUUGACGUUACCGACAGAAGAAGCACCGGCUAACUCCGUGCCAGCAGCCGUGGUAAUACGGAGGGUGCAAGCGUUAAUCGGAAUUACUGGGCGUAAAGCGCACGCAGGCGGUUGAUUAAGUGAGAUGUGAAAUCCCCGGGCUUAACCUGGGAAUGGCAUCUAAGACUGGUCAGCUUGAGUCUUGUAGAGGGGGGUAGAAUUCCAUGUGUAGCGGUGAAAUGCGUAGAGAUGUGGAGGAAUACCGGUGGCGAAGGCGGCCCCCUGGACAAAGACUGACGCUCAGGUACGAAAGCGUGGGGAGCAAACAGGAUUAGAUACCCUCGUAGUC
rnacentral:rRNA from 1 species